GACGAACGCUGGCGGCGUGCUUAACACAUGCAAGUCGAACGGGAUUUAGUAAACAGAAGCCUCGGUGGAAGAUUACUACUGAGAGUGGCGAACGGGUGAGUAACGCGUGAGCAACCUGCCUAUGACAGUGGGAUAGCCUCGGGAAACCGGGAUUAAUACCGCAUAACAUCGUAGAAACACAUGUUUUAACGGUCAAAGAUUUAUCGGUCAUAGAUGGGCUCGCGUCUGAUUAGCUAGUUGGUGAGAUAACAGCCCACCAAGGCGACGAUCAGUAGCCGGUCUGAGAGGAUGAACGGCCACAUUGGAACUGAGACACGGUCCAAACUCCUACGGGAGGCAGCAGUGGGGAAUAUUGCACAAUGGGGGAAACCCUGAUGCAGCGACGCCGCGUGAACGAAGAAGGUAUUCGUAUCGUAAAGUUCUGUCCUAUGGGAAGAUAAUGACAGUACCAUAGAAGAAAGCUCCGGCUAAAUACGUG
rnacentral:rRNA from 1 species